GACGAACGCUGGCGGCGUGCUUAACACAUGCAAGUCGAACGGAAGGGCCCUGCUUUUGUGGGGUGCUCGAGUGGCGAACGGGUGAGUAACACGUGAGUAACCUGCCCUUGACUUUGGGAUAACUUCAGGAAACUGGGGCUAAUACCGGAUAGGAGCUCCUGCUGCAUGGUGGGGGUUGGAAAGUUUCGGCGGUUGGGGAUGGACUCGCGGCUUAUCAGCUUGUUGGUGGGGUAGUGGCUUACCAAGGCUUUGACGGGUAGCCGGCCUGAGAGGGCGACCGGCCACAUUGGGACUGAGAUACGGCCCAGACUCCUACGGGAGGCAGCAGUGGGGAAUAUUGCACAAUGGGCGGAAGCCUGAUGCAGCAACGCCGCGUGCGGGAUGACGGCCUUCGGGUUGUAAACCGCUUUCGCCUGUGACGAAGCGUGAGUGACGGUAAUGGGUAAAGAAGCACCGGCUAACUACGUG
rnacentral:rRNA from 1 species